rnacentral:rRNA from 1 species
UACGUAGGGUGCAAGCGUUGUCCGGAAUUAUUGGGCGUAAAGAGCUCGUAGGCGGUCUGUUGCGUCGGCUGUGAAAACCCGAGGCUCAACCUCGGGCCUGCAGCCGAUACGGGCAGACUAGAGUUCGGCAGGGGAGACUGGAAUUCCUGGUGUAGCGGUGAAAUGCGCAGAUAUCAGGAGGAACACCUGCGGCGAAGGCGGGUUGCUGGGCCGACACUGACGCUGAUGCGCGAAAGCGUGGGGAGCAAACAGG